rnacentral:rRNA from 1 species
UACGUAGGGUGCAAGCGUUGUCCGGAUUUAUUGGGCGUAAAGAGCUCGUAGGCGGUCUGUCACGUCGGCUGUGAAACCUCGGGGCUCAACCCCGAGCCUGCAGUCGAUACGGGCAGACUAGAGUUCGGCAGGGGAGACUGGAAUUCCUGGUGUAGCGGUGAAAUGCGCAGAUAUCAAGAGGAACACCUGAGGUGAAGACGGGUUGCUGGGCUGACACUGACGCUGAGGCGCGAAAGCCAGGGGAGCAAACGGG